rnacentral:rRNA from 1 species
GUACGAACUGUGCGAACGUUAUUCGGAAUCACUGGGCUUAAAGGUUGCGUAGGCGGCUAUGAAGGUCAGGUGAGAAAUCCCACGGCUCAACCGUGGAACUGCGCCUGAAACCACGUAGCUUGAGGAAGUCAGAGGUAAGCGGAACUGAUGGUGGAGCGGUGAAAUGCGUUGAUAUCAUCAGGAACACCGGUGGCGAAAGCGGCUUACUGGGACUUUUCUGACGCUGAGGCACGAAAGCCAGGGGAGCGAACGGGAUUAGAAACCCCAGUAGUCC